GUCAUCAUUAGAGUGCGAGAUAGAUCCGGAAAAUAUUUUGUGUUUAUUUUAACAUGAUUCGGUUUUAAACUUGUGAAAAAAUUAGUCAUAUUUUUAAUAAUCAUCUGCACUCAUAAUUAGUAAAAAAUGUAAAAUGUUUAAUCUUACCGGGUGAACCUCAAUUAGACAGUGGCGAGUUAAAACCCCUACAACUAGAAACCGGUGAAUUUGGCGAAAGGCGGAGUUCAUUAGACCUCUUACAAUUUACCUCGGACCGUCGCAAGAAAAGGAUGCAUACAAAAAAAAAUCUUGCUGGAGAAGUGAUCGGUGUAUCGAUAGGCACCAUACUACCUGGUUAAGACCUCCUAACAAAUGCGGCUAAAAUAAAGAGACGAAACCGGUAAUGCCACUAUCUAAUGGGGUCCAGAAAAUAAUCGGGAAAUCAGUGCACAACCUUUUGACCACAACUUUUUUGGGGAUGACUGGGAGGCUUACAGUUCUAAUCUAACAUCCUACAAUAAAAAUAUUUGGUUGGAAAAAGAGAUUUUAAGGAUAUUUUGCGAAAACAGCCCGUCAACACGAACAGCGGCGGCCAUGACGGGGAUUGGAUUAGUCGACGGGGCUUAAACAACUAGCACAGAAGACAGACCAAAAGAAGAACAUAAACCAUACCAUUCGGUGGUAGCUUCAAACAACGAAACUGGCGGCAUCUUCUCAGCACUACUGCAUUAAAAAAGCUGUUACAACAACAACAGAUACGUACAGCGCUAAUGCGAAUUUUAUUACAGCACUACUUCGUACUGGGAUAACUGCAACCACCAUUGGGGUAGAAAAAUAAUUAGUUUUUGAGUUAUACGAGAUCUCCGAUGGCGCUAAAAAAGAUCUUCCACUGCUGCAGUGCUGUGAUUCCGGUCUUUUCUGUGGAUGGAACCUAAAAAUAAAAAAAUCUUGUUAAACUAGAAGA